rnacentral:lncRNA from 1 species
AGUCAAAACCCUUUUUGUCUAUAGACAUAGAGUGAACGUUUAAUUUGGCUCUGGAAGCUGUGCUGAAGAAACCACUCAGGAGGCCAGAGGGGAUGUCUGUGCUGGAUGAGAUUCCUGAUUUCCAUAAUCUGUACCUGGAGGUUUAUACAGGAGAGGAUCACUGGGGCAGACUUGAACCAUGGUGCCCACAAGUGGGGAGGGUGCUCCAGCGGCCAUGGAAAGAACUUCCUUCUGCAGUUGGAGACAGCCUUCUGUGUGGGCUGAAGGACAGAGUGUGAUUUUCUACUUGGAAGAGACUCCAGGGCUCUGCAGAGAGGGAAGCCCUGCUGACCCAUUUCAGCAGACUGUGACACUUCAGCGACCUGCAAAUUCUACACAUUAGAGUUCAUAUUUUAUACAAACUCCGUACACCUAAGAUGUGGACUUAACAUUUCUACCAACAACAUCCAACUUCCAACAAAAGAUGCAGGCCCAUCAGAAGAUGAAAGCUACUAAUGAAGAUGCAUUAAAGAUGAUAUUUAUGGCCACCCCUUAGGGAAAAAAAGAUUCAUAAAUAAUUUCAUGGAAAUUACACCCAAAAUAGAGUCAUAAUUUCCUCAA